rnacentral:lncRNA from 1 species
GUAUCCUCACCCAGGAACACAAGGUGGCUGUAAUUCUCUAACAUCACAUCCCUGUACAGAUUCCACUGUGCAGGGUCCAGGCAUUCCAUCUCUCCUGAAGAGAAAUCAAUGGCCACAUCCCUGAAUGACAGCAUUUCUGAAAUAAAGAUCAACGGAUGAAUAUUACACAAUAGACAAGAGUUAGAAAUGCUUCUGAAACAAAUACUUUUAUAUUUAAAAUGCUCAAAAGCCUGACUUCCAGGCUUCUGAAAUACACACUACAUUGCGCACACGCUGGCCAAUACUUUCCGUGCCUCUCUUCCUCAGACCAUUGGCCCAUUGGAGACAGCUGCGCUAUUUCCAACUUCGGUGAGAUUAAAUUCUUUGGAGACUCUCUAUGGCUAAGAUCAUCUUUUACUUUCCUUUCCAGGUCUGAAAUAAUAAUCCCAUUCAUAUUGCCACUGACAAUAUACCCCAUGCUCUGAGGUUCAUCUGGACUGUGCUGCACAUAAGUGCAUAUACAUAUGAACCUAUGUAGCGCCUCUACUUUCCUUGCUUUGCAAGACCACCUGCAGCCUGUCAAAAGAUUUCCUGAUGAGGGCGGCAUAAUGCCAAGUCCCAGGGGUUCCCUGAGGAGACUGCAACAGUUCUUUCUAGCUCCAAAUUUUCAAAUGUGACUUAUAUAGCAUAAAGUAACCAUGGAAACCAGGAACGUAUAAAGGGAGCACAUGGGGAGGGACAUGAGGGAGGAGUAACAGGACACACGUGCUUCAAAGUGGGAAAGGGAAAAUCUGGAGGGAACUUUAACUGGGAAGAUGGAGGGAGGUCAACACAGAUGGAGAGGGAAAGGGAAAACCUGGAGGGGGUGUCAACUGGGAAGAGGGAAGGAAGCCCGUACAGAUGGAGAGGGAGGGUGAGAUAAGGAAAAAUAACACCAAACCUCAUGAAAUCAUAUUAUUUUAUACUUACUGAAAAUUAUACACUAUACAUUAUAUGCAUACCUAGAGAAAACCACAAGAACUCUCAACCCUAGAGCUAACUCUAUAGGCUUCAUGAUGUUUAAUUUUUUAAGUUAUUUCUUUUUACUUUCGUGCACACAUUGUUGCCAGCUUGUAUGUUGGUGCACCACAUGGUUAUCCUGGAGGCCAGAAGAUGUUACUGGUUCCCUGGAACUGCAGUUAUAGACAAUUAUGAACCACCAUGUGCCUGGUGGGGACUGAACAAUGUUCCUUUGAUAGAGAAACAAGUGCUUCUAUUUAAAAAAUAAAUUAUUUUUG